GCCCAGACUCCUACGGGAGGCAGCAGUGGGGAAUAUUGCACAAUGGGGGAAACCCUGAUGCAGCGACGCCGCGUGAGCGAUGAAGUAUUUCGGUAUGUAAAGCUCUAUCAGUAGGGAAGAAAAUGACGGUACCUGACUAAGAAGCCCCGGCUAACUACGUGCCAGCAGCCGCGGUAAUACGUAGGGGGCAAGCGUUAUCCGGAUUUACUGGGUGUAAAGGGAGCGUAGACGGCUGUGCAAGUCAGAAGUGAAAGCCCGGGGCUCAACCGCGGGACUGCUUUUGAAACUGUGUAGCUGGAGUGCAGGAGAGGUAAGUGGAAUUCCUAGUGUAGCGGUGAAAUGCGUAGAUAUUAGGAGGAACACCGGUGGCGAAGGCGGCUUACUGGACUGUAACUGACGUUGAGGCUCGAAAGCGUGGGGAGCAAACAGGAUUAGAUACCCGUGUACU
rnacentral:rRNA from 1 species